rnacentral:sRNA from 1 species
UAAUGAAUUUUUGUUAGAAGGUACAAAGACAAAGACUCGUACAGACUUCGACUACACUAUCAAAGCUUUGAGAAUUAAGAAGAAGCUUGGUUAGUGUUUUGGAUUUGAAUAUGACUUGAUGUCAUGUGUAUGACUCAAUAUAAAAACUAGAACCGCAACAGAGGUUAAAAGCAUAAGUAUUGUAUCAUUGUUAGAAGAUACAAUGACGAAGACUCAUAUGGACUUCUGCUACACCAUCAAAGCUUUGAGAAGCAAGAAGAAGUUUGGUUAGUGUUUUGGAGUCGAAUAUGACUUUAUGUCAUGUGUAUGAGUGAGUAUAAAAACUAGAACCGCAACGGAUCUUAAAAGCCUAAAUAUUGUAUCCUUGUUAGAAGAUACAUAGACAAAGACUCAUACGAAAUUCGGCUAAACCAUCAAAGCUUUUAGAAGCAAGAAGAAGCUUGGUUAGUGUUUUGGAGUGAAAUAUAACUAGAUGUCAUGUGUAUGAGUGAGUAUACCAACUAGAACCACAAUUGGAAUAUUAAAAGCCUAAGUAUUGUAUCCUUGUUAGAAGAUACAAAGACAAACACUCAUACGGACUUUGGUUACACCAUCAAAGUUUUGAGAAGCAAGAAGACGCUUGGUUAGUGUUUUGGAGUCAAGUAUGACUUGAUGUGAUGUGUAUGAUUGAGUAUAAGAAAUUAAACCGCAAAUGGAUCUUAAAAGCUUAAGUAAUGUUUCCUUGUUAGAAGAUACAAAGGCAAAGCCUCAUACAGACUUUAGCUAUACCAUCAAAGCCUUGAGAAGCAAGAAGAAGCUUGGUUAGUGUUUUGGAGUCAAAUAUUACUAGAUGUCAUGUGUAUGAGUGAGUAUGACAACUAGAACCAUAACCGGAUCUUAAAAACCUAAGUAUUGAAUCUUUGUUAGAAGAUACAAAGACAAAGACUCAUACGGACUUCGACUACACUAUCAAAGCUUUGAGAAGCAAGAAGAAGCUUGGUUAGUGUUUUGGAUUCGAAUAUGACUUGAUGUCUUGUGUAUGACUCAGUAUAAACACUAGAACCGCAACGGAUCUUAAAAGCAUAAGUAUUGUAUCAUUGUUAGAAGAUACAAUGACGAAGACUCAUACGGACUUCGACUACACCAUCAAAGCUUUGAGAAGCAAGAAGCAGUUGGUUAGUGUUUUGGAGUCGAAUAUGACUUGAUGUCAUGUGUAUGAGUGAGUAUAAAAACUAGAACCGCAACGGAUCUUAAAAGCCUAAAUAUUGUAUCCUUGUUAGAAGAUACAUAGACAAAGUCUCAUACGGAAUUCGGCUAAACCAUCAAAGCUUUUACAAGCAAGAAGAAGCUUGGUUAGUGUUUUAGAGUGAAAUCUAACUAGAUGUCAUGUGUAUGAGUGAGUAUACCAACUAGAACCACAAUUGGAAUUUUAAAAGCCUAAGUAUUAUAUCCUUGUUAGACGAUACAAAGACAAACACUCAUACGGACUUUGGCUACACCAUCAAAGCUUUUAGAAGCAAGAAGAAGCUUGGUUAGUGUUUUGGAGUCGAAUAUGACUUGAUGUGAUGUGUAUGAUUGAGUAUAAGAAAUUAAACCGCAACCGGAUCUUAAAAGCCUAAGUAUUGUUUUCUUGUUAGAAGAAACAAAGGCAAAGCCUCAUACAGACUUUAGCUAUACCAUCAAU